UACGUAGGGCGCGAGCGUUGUCCGGAAUCAUUGGGCGUAAAGAGCUCGUAGGCGGCCAGUUGCGUCCGCUGUGAAAUCCCGGGGCUCAACCCCGGGCGUGCAGUGGAUACGGGCUGGCUAGAGGCAGGCAGGGGAGAACGGAAUUCCCGGUGUAGCGGUGGAAUGCGCAGAUAUCGGGAGGAACACCGGUGGCGAAGGCGACUAACUGGCCCAACAUUGACGCUGAGACCCGAAAGCAUGGGGAUCAAACAGG
rnacentral:rRNA from 1 species